rnacentral:rRNA from 1 species
GAUGAACGCUAGCGGCAGGCUUAACACAUGCAAGUCGAACGGCAGCACAGGUAGCAAUACUGGGUGGCGAGUGGCGCACGGGUGCGUAACGCGUAUGCAACCUACCUCUAUCUGGGAGAUAGCCCGAAGAAAUUCGGAUUAAUACCCCAUAAUAUAUGUCUUUCGCAUGUUAGACAUAUUAAAGCUUUGGCGGAUAGAGAUGGGCAUGCGUGACAUUAGCUAGUUGGUAAGGUAACGGCUUACCAAGGCUACGAUGUCUAGGGGGUCUGAGAGGAUUAUCCCCCACACUGGUACUGAGACACGGACCAGACUCCUACGGGAGGCAGCAGUGAGGAAUAUUGGACAAUGGGCGAAAGCCUGAUCCAGCCAUGCCGCGUGCAGGAAGACGGCCCUAUGGGUUGUAAACUGCUUUUUAUAUGGGAAUAAACCUCCGAACGUGUUCGGAGCUGAAGGUACCAUACGAAUAAGGAUCGGCUAACUCCGUGCCAG